rnacentral:misc_RNA from 1 species
GCUUCUCAACCUCACAGGCCUCAAGUGUCAAUACACAAAUAGGUCAAUCACAACCUAAGUCUUUGCAUUUCUCCUCUCUCCACCUUUCACUCCAUCAAGCACUGCCCCUCCUAUGAAUGCCUCCUUUCACCCCACCACUGGCUGCAUCCUCCAUCUGCACCCUAUCCUUAUGGCCUCUGACACCCUAUCCUUAUGGCCUCUGACACCCUAUCCUUAUGGCCUCUGA